UCUCUCUCUCUCUCUCUCUCUCUCUGUCUCUGUCUCUGUCUCUGUCUCUCACUCUCUGUCUCUCUCUCGCUCUCUCUCUCUCUUUCAGGUAGCUACAUCACUACUAUCGGAGUGGAUUUCAAGGUUCGGACGGUCGAUGUCAAUGGGGAGAAGGUGAAGCUGCAGAUCUGGGAAACCGCUGGGAAAGAACGAUUCCGUACAAUCAGGUCUACGGUUUAUGAGCUGUUGCUAUGGAAGGAGAGACGGGAUGUGAGCGGCCAUUGAGGGCGGCCAGGGUGCCGGCAAGGCCGCCCCCUCAUCUGCUCGGUUUGCGGGCUGAGCUUUGAAGGGCUGAGCUUUGAGGGGCUGAGCUUCGAGGGGCUGAGCUACUGAGGAGGACCACAUGAUGGGGCACAACAAGGAAAAGCGUUAUGAGUGCGACGUGUGUGGCAAGGCUUGGCGGAGCCCGAGCGAGCUGGAGACCCACAGGCGGGUGCACACGGGAGAACGCCCCUUUGACUGCUCCGACUGCGGCAAGAGUUUCAAGUCGGUGCAACAUCUAAAUUCCCACCGGCGAGCACACACGGGAGAACGUCCCUUCAACUGCUCCAACUGCGGCAAAAGCUUUACCCAGUCAUGGGGACUGCAGGUGCACCGGCGGGUGCACAGCGGUGAGCGGCCCUUCACCUGCUCUACCUGCGGUAAAAGCUUUACCCAGUCAUCGGGGCUGCAUGUGCACCAGCGGAUGCACAGCGGUGAGCGGCCCUUCACCUGCUCCACCUGCGGGAAGAGCUUUACCCAGUUGUCGGGGCUGCAGGAGCACCGGCAGGUACACAGCAGUGAGCAGCCCUUCACCUGCUCCGACUGUGGCAAAGGCUUCAAGUCGUCCACGCGCCUGAAGGUGCACAGGCGCCUGCACAUCGUGGAGAGGCCCUACAUCUGCAGCAACUGUGGCAAGGGAUUCACCCACUCCAGCAACCUGCUGUACCACCAGCGCACCCACACCGGCGAGCGCCCCUACACCUGCGCCCAGUGUGGGAAGGGCUUCAUCCAGUCCUGCAACCUGCUGAAGCACCAGCGUAUCCACACGGGCGAGCGGCCCUACACCUGCGGCCAGUGCGGCAAGGGCUUCACCCAGUCCAGCAACCUGCUGCAGCACCAGCGGGUGCACGCCGGCGACCGUCCCAUCCCCAGCCCAGUGUGUGGAGACCACUUUGCCAUGGCCUCCCACACCCUGUCUCACCAGCGCAUGCACACCAGUGGCCAGCCCUACGAAUGCCCGUACUGCUGUGAGGCGUUUGACAGCUCACGGGGGUUGCGACAGCACCGGCGAGCCCACGCUGGCGAGCAGCUGCUCCCACUGUGACAAGAGAGCAUGGGUGCUGCGGGAGCACGGCGGAUACACAUCGGAGAGAGACCCUUUGUGUGCGCUGAGUGUGGCAAGGGUUUCACCCGCAUGUCCAGCCUUUGGCAGCACCGGCGUACCCACAGAUGUCAGCAUCCCUUCCCCUGCCCAUCCUGUGGUAAGGGCUUCACCCACCAUGACCACCUGCUGGAGCACCGGCGAGUCCAUACCAGCCAGCGCCCCUUCACCUGCCCGCUCUGUGGCAAGGCCUUUGCCCGCUCCUCCAGCCUGCUGGCACACCGCCACAUGGAUAGGCGCUGUUUAGGUAGACCCAAAAUACUGGAAAGAAUGGGUAACGUUCUGGCCGAGACCCUCUUCAGUCUUGACCCGAAACAUUACCCAUUCCUUUUCUCCACAGAUGCUGCCUGACACGCUGAGUUACUCCAGCACUCUGUGAAACGUCACCUAUCCAUGUUCUCCACAGAUGCUGCCUGACCCGCCGAGUUACUGCAGCACUCUAUGUUAGAGUCAUUGAAUGAAACAGUGGAAACUUUGGCCCAAGUUGCCCACAGGAGAUUGUGUCUCUUUUUGUAAACCAGCAUCUGCUGUUCCUUGUAUCUGGUCCUCUGUUUCCCCCACUCUGCAUUGCGCUCGGUCCGCCAAGGCCAAGGACGGAUAUGGACCAAACACAAACACUCCUGGUUGCCAACCAUUUUAACUCCCCGUCCCACUCCCACACGGAUCUUUCUGACCUGGGCCUCCUCCAUUUCCACAGUGAGGGGACACGCAAACUGGAGGAACAGCACGUCAUAGCUUACAGCCCAAUGACAUGAACAUUGAAUUCUCCAAAUUAAGGAGACUUUCCCCCCCCCCCCCGCCCCUAAUCAAGUCCUGGAGUCUGUCCUGACCCUAUCUCUUUUUUCCAGCUUUCUCCCCCGACUCCAUCAGUCCAAACAAGGGUCCAGACCCGACACGUCGCCUACCCAUUCCCCUCCAAAGUGCCGUUAGAACUCAGCAAGUCAGCCAUCCGUGGUGGGAAACGGAUGGAGAAGUGUUCCUUAUAUAAGCCCUCCUUGGCCCUGUCGAGGAGCAGACCAUCGAUAGUAUCAGCAAAUUUUCAUUCAUACUGUACCCAAGUGAAAAUGCUAAAGUGAGCCAAACUGCACACAUCCGACUGCUCACAGUACCAGCUGGCUGCCACUGGCCCAAAAACUUAAAGGCAUUUUAAAGUUUUUUUCAAAAGAAAGUCUAGACACAUUUGUGCCUUAUUUAACAAAUGAAGCAAAUUUUUCCUGAC